GUUAUAGGGUCAAGCGAACAAGUGCAUGUGGUGGAUGCCUUGGCGAUCACAGGCGAUGAAGGACGCGGUAGCCUGCGAAAAGCUACGGGGAGCUGGCAAACAAGCUUUGAUCCGUAGAUGUCCGAAUGGGGAAACCCACUCCGUAUGGAGUAUCCAUGGCUGAAUACAUAGGCCAUGCGAAGCGAACGCGGUGAACUGAAACAUCUAAGUAACCGCAGGAAAAGAAAUCAACCGAGAUUCCCAAAGUAGUGGCGAGCGAAAUGGGAUGAGCCUUGUACUCUUUAUUUGUAUUGUUAGCCGAACGCUCUGGAAAGUGCGGCCAUAGCAGGUGAUAGCCCUGUAGGCGAAAACAGUAUGAAAGAACUAGGUGUACGACAAGUAGGGCGGGACACGUGAAAUCCUGUCUGAAGAUGGGGGGACCAUCCUCCAAGGCUAAAUACUCGUGAUCGACCGAUAGUGAACCAGUACCGUGAGGGAAAGGCGAAAAGAACCCCGGGAGGGGAGUGAAAUAGAUCCUGAAACCGCAUGCAUACAAACAGUCGGAGCCUCGUAAGGGGUGACGGCGUACCUUUUGUAUAAUGGGUCAGCGACUUACGUUCAGUAGCAAGCUUAACCGUAUAGGGCAGGCGUAGCGAAAGCGAGUCCGAAUAGGGCGUUCAGUUGCUGGGCGUAGACCCGAAACCAGGUGAUCUAUCCAUGGCCAGGAUGAAGGUGCGGUAACACGUACUGGAGGUCCGAACCCACUAACGUUGAAAAGUUAGGGGAUGAGCUGUGGAUAGGGGUGAAAGGCUAAACAAACCUGGAAAUAGCUGGUUCUCUCCGAAAACUAUUUAGGUAGUGCCUCGUGUCUCACCUUCGGGGGUAGAGCACUGUCAUGGUUGGGGGGUCUAUUGCAGAUUACCCCGCCAUAGCAAACUCCGAAUACCGAAGAGUGCAAUCACGGGAGACAGACAUCGGGUGCUAACGUCCGGUGUCAAGAGGGAAACAACCCAGACCGCCAGCUAAGGUCCCCAAAUAUGGCUAAGUGGGAAACGAAGUGGGAAGGCUAAAACAGUCAGGAGGUUGGCUUAGAAGCAGCCACCCUUUAAAGAAAGCGUAAUAGCUCACUGAUCGAGUCGUCCUGCGCGGAAGAUGUAACGGGGCUAAGCCAUAUACCGAAGCUGCGGAUGCGAGC
rnacentral:rRNA from 1 species